rnacentral:rRNA from 1 species
AGAGUUUGAUCAUGGCUCAGAAUCAACGCUGGCGGCGCGCUUAACACAUGCAAGUCGAACGAGAAAGGGGGAGCAAUCCCCCCGGUAAAGUGGCGUACGGGUGAGUAACACGUGGGUAAUCUGCCCUUUGGUGGGGAAUAACCCUGGGAAACCGGGGCUAAUACCGCAUAAGUCCGAGAGGAGAAAGUCGCAAGACGCCGAAGGAGGAGCCCGCGGCCGAUUAGCUAGUUGGCAGGGUAAAAGCCUACCAAGGCAAAGAUCGGUAGCCGGCCUGAGAGGGCACACGGCCACACUGGCACUGAAACACGGGCCAGACUCCUACGGGAGGCAGCAGUGGGGAAUCUUGCACAAUGGGGGAAACCCUGAUGCAGCGACGCCGCGUGAGCGAUGAAGCCCUUCGGGGUGUAAAGCUCUUUCGGCAGGGAAGAUGAUGACGGUACCUGCAAAAGCAGCUGCGGCUAACUACGUGCCAGCAGCCGCGGUAAUACGUAGGCAGCGAGCGUUGUUCGGAGUUACUGGGCGUAAAGGGUGUGUAGGCGGUUUGGUAAGUCUGGUGUGAAAUCUCCCGGCUCAACUGGGAGGGUGCGCCGGAAACUGCCGGACUCGAGUGCGGGAGAGGAGAGUGGAAUUCCUGGUGUAGCGGUGAAAUGCGUAGAUAUCAGGAGGAACACCGGCGGUGUAGACGGCUCUCUGGACCGUAACUGACGCUGAAACACGAAAGCGUGGGUAGCAAACAGGAUUAGAUACCCUGGUAGUCCACGCCCUAAACGAUGCAUAUUUGGUGUGGGUCAUUCAGUUGAUCCGUGCCGGAGCUAACGCGUUAAAUAUGCCGCCUGGGGAGUACAGUCGCAACGCUGAACUCAAAGGAAUUGACGGGGCCCGCACAAGCGGUGGAGCAUGUGGUUCAAUUCGACGCAACGCGAAGAACCUUACC